rnacentral:rRNA from 1 species
AUACGGAAGGUGCAAGCGUUAUCCGGAAUCACUGGGUUUAAAGGGUGCGUAGGCGGCCCCGUCAGUCAGAGGUGAAAUCCUACGGCUUAACCGUAGCAUUGCCUUUGAUACUGCGAGGCUUGAAUCAGGCUGAGGUCAGCGGAAUGUGACAUGUAGCGGUGAAAUGCAUAGAUAUGUCAUAGAACACCAAUUGCGAAGGCAGCUGACUAGACCUGGAUUGACGCUGAGGCACGAAAGCGUGGGGAGCGAACAGGAUUAGAAACCCCAGUAGUCC